UAAAGUACUGCAAGAUAAAGGGAUUAAUUGCACUAAGCCUUCUCAAAUAUGUAUGCCCCAUUAUCUACUAUUCUAGUAAAAAAGAGAUAAACAAAGAAGUUUUUCAUUUAAAAACUAUAAGAACAUGUGUGAUGUUCUCACCAGCAAUUUUCUCAGGUGUUACGACAUUUUCUGUAGAAAGCCAACAAUAAGCUUGUUGUUCUCCAGCUGCUUAUUUUUCAGGGACACCUUCUUGUUCUUUAUUCAUAGAGUCCCCUUCUUCCUUAUCCUUUCCCCUUGUUAUAAUCCUGUAUAGUAGAAUUCCUGCCAUCAGUGUGCAACACUGAUUAAUUGUAUGCUAAUAAAAGAAUAUGUAAGGUACAUAAGCGUUUGUAUAGCAAAAAAAGAAGAAGCUCUGUCUAGCUAAGCUGUGGGUUAGUGGUUAACAUGGAUGAAAAAAUACAUCAGCACAUCCUAGCCAGUCAUUGUCAUGACAAUGAUAGCAAGAAAAACAGUCAUGCAUCAACAAACUAAAAAUACGGGAAGUUUCAGCGCUCUAGCUCCCUUGUUCAUUGAGUGUGCAGAAGGAUCGAAUGAUCCAUGAUGCUGAAAGUGAAAUAAAGUUGACUGCAUUAUGAGCAAGAUGACAGGGCAAACUGGAAACGGCGACCAAGAUCAACAAGAACCGAGUGAUCACAAUUUACAACUGAUAAUUGAUGGUGCAAAAGUACGCGAAAAGUAAAGAAACAUGUCCUGAUGUCCAUAACUCUCUGUUCUGAUUGCAUUAUCAGCAAGUUUAUUUUCUUCCUGCUUUCUGAAUUUACAAUUGUUGCCAGUACAAUUUUUGGCUUGAAUAUAUUACUUCAGUUUGGCAAGAUACGACCGAAAAGAAUUUCUGCUGAAUUGUGUGAUAAAAAAAAGUGGGAGAUGAGGGGCAAUAUAAAGUGGGAGAUGGAUCAACUAAUGAAUAGAAUGGCCGAUGCACCCUUAUACUAAUUAAAACAUUGGAGUAACAAGUAAGGACUUCUGAAUUUGGAAAGGGGCAAAAGACCUCACCCAUUUGAUUCCAUGGUGGAGGCGUGGAGCAGCCUCCGAUGCACCUACUUGACCGACAAGAUGACAACGAGUG
rnacentral:lncRNA from 1 species